ACAGAAAAUGGGCACGCAACACACGCAGAUGCACACAGACCGACAGUGUUUGGUGUCUGACAGGCACUCAGGCCCAGCUUAGGGUCUAGGACUGAUCGCUGCUGCCCUGACCCCAGGAGAGCACCGGAGCCUACGUCAUAAGGAUACAGUGUGAAGUGGAUGCGCUUACUCUGAGAACAAGCAAUGAUUCAGGAAAGUCCUUAAAUGAAGGGAGCAUUCGCCUGGCCGGCCAAGCGGGAACAUCUUGCAGGCACGUGACAGCCUCUCUCCGCUGAGCUGCGAUGCGUAAAGGGGUUCACAGGCGCAGAGCCGCCUCUCACUGUGGAUCGUGGUGGGGAGUGGAUGCCCACUGUCCCCUCGCAGCUGUGUGCUAGGAGGCCCAGCCCGCGAGAGGAAAUGCCCGCUUCCCUCUCCCUCUGGCUCUGGGUCCCACUGGCCGCCCUGAGCCCGCCCCUCCCCGAGCCACAGGAGCUCCUCGGCUCUCUGCUCCCUUCCUUCCCCGCAGGAGGAGGGAGAAGGGGGGUCUGAGCCACCACAUCAGGCAGUGACAAUUAAACCCAUUCAGAGCUGAGUCAUUUGCAUGCAACUCCUCAACAGGCGCAGAACACUCAACCUGUCAUUUUCUCCUGGCAUUGCUGGUAACUGUGCCAUGCGGCUGUGGAGAUGGCAGCUUCCUUUCCUGGGCACUGCCAGGCAGGGAGAAGGUGACGGAUGAAGGGCCUGGAACCUUGCCUUUUGUCCUCCUAGCCUCUGCAGAGGCCAGGAGGCCGGAGCUAGAGGAGGAGGUGGAGUGGGGACAAGGCGAUAAGAGCCCAUGGACCCAGUUACGCUUGGACAGUGGGAGGGUCUCCGGAGGCAGCAGGGACGGCAGGAAUCAUCUGAGGGUAGUGCCCACCUCCUCAGCUGGAAUUUAUUGAACGAGAUUAUCUCUUGAUAAGUACCAAAAGCCACCAUUUCGCUGUGCACCCACAGAGCAGGCC